CACUCCUCAUCACCUGCCCCCCCCUUUCCGUCCUUCGGGUGGGCUCAGCGGGCGGAGCGCGAGCGCGCGUGGGAGUAGGGGAAAUCUUUCCCGACGCUUGUCCUCCCUGCAGCGGGGCGGGGGGGGAAGAGGGGGGAGAGCUCGGUGAUUCGGCGAUCGGCCGCGCGGGCUAGAGCGAGGCUGCGGAAUCCCGAGCUGCCGAUGGGGCGGGGGGAGGCGAUGGGGUGAAGCUGGGUCGGCCGCCAUUUUGGACGCGGCGCGCGCCGCCUCGCUGCGGGAAGGUCUUGCCGUUGCCGUAUAUCAGAAAAACCUACCGGUGAACAAGUAUACAGGAAAACGCAUAAGCAUCCAUAUGAUCUCCAUGCGUAGGGCAGAAUUAAUUACUUGAGGCUAUUAAUGUCCGGUCCACCAAGAGACUUGAAGGACUCUGUUGGUCGUCCACAAAUAAAAUGUUCUGCAGUCUGCCUUACAGCUGUAUAUAGAGAAAAUGCUACCUUCCUGCUCCAGGAUACAGCA